rnacentral:rRNA from 1 species
AACGAACGCUGGCGGCAGGCCUAACACAUGCAAGUCGAACGCAUCGCAAGAUGAGUGGCGCACGGGUGAGUAACACGUGGGAAUGUGCCCUUUGGUUCGGAAUAACGUCUGGAAACAGACGCUAAUACCGGAUGAGCCCUACGGGGGAAAGAUUUAUCGCCAAAGGAGCAGCCCGCGUCUGAUUAGGUAGUUGGUGGGGUAAAGGCCUACCAAGCCGACGAUCAGUAGCUGGUCUGAGAGGAUGAUCAGCCACACUGGGACUGAGACACGGCCCAGACUCCUACGGGAGGCAGCAGUGGGGAAUAUUGGACAAUGGGCGCAAGCCUGAUCCAGCCAUGCCGCGUGAGUGAUGAAGGCCUUCGGGUUGUAAAGCUCUUUCGCACGUGACGAUGAUGACGGUAACGUGAGAAGAAGCCCCGGCUAACUUCGUGCCAGCCGCCGCUGUAACAC